GACGAACGCUGGCGGCGUGCCUAAUACAUGCAAGUAGAACGCACAGUUUAUACCGUAGCUUGCUACACCAUAGACUGUGAGUUGCGAACGGGUGAGUAACGCGUAGGUAACCUGCCUGGUAGCGGGGGAUAACUAUUGGAAACGGUAGCUAAUACCGCAUAAUAUUAAUUAUUGCAUGGUAAUUAAUUGAAAGGUGCAAUUGCACCACUACCAGAUGGACCUGCGUUGUAUUAGCUAGUAGGUGAGGUAACGGCUCACCUAGGCGACGAUACAUAGCCGACCUGAGAGGGUGAUCGGCCACACUGGGACUGAGACACGGCCCAGACUCCUACGGGAGGCAGCAGUAGGGAAUCUUCGGCAAUGGACGAAAGUCUGACCGAGCAACGCCGCGUGAGUGAAGAAGGUUUUCGGAUCGUAAAGCUCUGUUGUAAGAGAAGAACGGGUGUGAGAGUGGAAAGUUCACACUGUGACGGUAUCUUACCAGAAAGGGACGGCUAACUACGUG
rnacentral:rRNA from 1 species